rfam:Cyberlindnera jadinii strain CBS1600 genome assembly, contig: CJ2
GGGAGAGUGGCCGAGUGGUUAAGGCGCCCGCUUCAGGUGCUGGUAACGUAAAGUUGCGCGAGUUCGAACCUCGUCUCUUCCA